rnacentral:lncRNA from 1 species
GUACGGGCAAUCUUAUAAUGCGCAUCACUGAGAGUACCCCUUACUGGUACCCUCGACAAGAAGACUAGCACGCGGAGGACAUUCUAAUCACUGUCAGAAUGCUGCUGACUUUCAAAUACACCUCUGCCACCUGCUAGCUACAUCAAGAGAAAUUACAUCAAAAUUCAGCUUGGGAGAGAGCACCCCCAUUUAUCUCGCUAAGUAUUUCUACCUAUCUUUAUACUUAUAUUAUGUUAGAAUAUUAAAAUACAUAAACUAUGAAAAACCAAAUAAAAAUUUUGUGUUUAUAUAUAUAUAUAUAUCUUUUGCUUAGUGUGUUUAAUAAAUAAAUAAAGUGGCUAUGCUAAUCUGAAUCUUAAUAAUAAAACUCUAGCAUGGAUAUGAUGAAUAUUUGCUCUGCCUAAUUUGUAAAUUUGAAGUUCUCUCUCAAGUUUAGACAUAACUGUUAUAAUUUAAAGCUUGCUCUAGAUCUAAACUUGUGGGAUGAAAACUUGAUCUGAAAUCUAAGUUGUUAACGGAUAUGAUAUGGGAAGGUUGAACUGCUGUUUAUCUGUUCCUAGAGAUGCUAGAAUUUUGGAGAAUUUUAUCUUUAAAAAUCUUUAAAAUGUUGCAUGAUGAGUUCCUGUAUGAUGAGAGUUUAAAAUCCUACCACAGCCACAUAUACAUGCUUAUUAGACUAUGAACCAUACAUUUACUUUUUACUGCUUAUGAGCAUUGAGUGUAGUCAAGCUGUGUAGACCCUUAGGAGCUUGUCAUGCGGUUAAAAUCAAGAUUCACUUGCACGUUCACUCAUAUAUGCUGCUUCUACUCCAGAAGUACGCAUCCACAUACAUCCACUCCUUUCCAUCUCGAGAUUCACCCAAAAUUAUUCUACUCCUAUCCGGGAGAGAAUAGCCAAAAACAUUAUCCCAUUCCUGUUUUUCCUUGUGAAAUAAAUGCUCAAGCUAUUUUGGUUACUACCACUUGCUACAUUAUUCCAGAAGGGUGAGUGCUCUGAAAAAAAAAGAAAAACACGAGGAAAUAAAAAUGGGCAAGUGCCCGGAACCUCGAAAGAAAAAAGAAAAAGUGACACGAGAGGUAAAAAUGGACAAGUGUCUGACAGUAGAAUUAGGGGUACAAGAUACCCACCCGAAAGAAAAGAAAAAUAAAAUAUAGAGCAUCUCAUUCUCCUCAAAAAGCUUUAAAGUGCAAGAAAGAUAUGUAUCCUCUCAAAAGAGCAAAAGUAGAAUUAGACUUUCACCAUUGUUUUCACCAUUAUCACUAUCAUCACCAUACACCAUUCAUUCGCCACACAUGCACAUCUUGAUUUAACUUAUUGACUUGUUUCUCUGGAUCCAUGGUUUGUCUAUGCAAUAAAUGUCUUGUAAGUAUGUAUUAGCUGUCUCCCACCUAUGAGCUCCAGAUAUCAAAACCUUAUUAGAGUAGGGUGAGAGAGAAGGCAAUGUCACUAUGCCUCAUACCACAAAUACCACAUACUUUGAGAGAAGGCAUAUACCAUCACUGCCUUGGUAAGGAUUCAGAAAUACCACAAAAGAGAGAAUUGAGAGAGUCAUACAAGGAAUCUCUGAGUUUUAUUUGAAAAUCUGUAAAAACUCCAGAGCUAUAGUUGAUCAAAGAACAAGAGACAUGGUGCUUGACUUGACCGUUCUAUCUUUUAACUGCUCAAGACACAAGUGACGGUUGCAAGCCCCAUGGUGAAAGGUAAUAUGAGUAAGUUUUAAAUCUUAACAACUUACCUUAACCUAGAGAUGAGAUCUUGUUUGAAUGCAUGAGUACCUUUAAGGCAUAAAACCACUGCAAAAACUCUUGAGUCCAUCCUUGCUCAGGGACGAGCAAGAGGUAAGCUUGGGGGAGUUGUUGACGGUCCUUAAGUACCAAAUAUAAUCAUCAAAUAAACAAAGAAAAGGAUUCAAAUGAAAUCAAAAUCUAGACUUAGGUUUUUAUCUGACAGAAUUCUAUGAGUUUUGGUGUUUGUCUAUUUUUGCAGGGGGUUAUUAGGAAAUACGGAAGAAAGGCCCGCACGUCGGGAUUACAUAGAGAUAUUAACGUGUCGCGCAAUUAUCUUACAUCUAGAAGACUCCAGCCGAACGGGGCCAGAGGCAGGGUGCCCGCCCUCCUGCCCUGGGCGCCCGCCUUGACUUAGAGCCCAAUCAGGACUCUUUCUCUCCGGAGAUCUCCACCGACCUAAAGGAUCAAGAAUAACCGUUCAAUCAAUGUCGGUUUGAUCCGACGGCCCAGGUUCACUUGAGGGGACUAUAUAACCAGACCCCCUAGCCCCUGGAGGAGGCAACCCCUUGAUCAUUAUUCAUUAUUCGUAGACAGAGCAAAAGCUAGGGUUUAGAGAUGAGAGCUCUCCUCUCUUCUCUAAACUAGAGUAGAUCUAGAUAGUAGCGAGAUGGAGAGCGAAGGAGGAUUAGAGGAGAGGCCGGCCUGUCGGUUCUUCCUCCGGUUGUACUUCGUCAUGAUCAAGCUCUAAUCAAGCCUGCUCAUGGGAUGACUCUGGUAAUCUACUUUUAAUUCAUUAUGCAAUUACUAAUCAUGUAUGUUCUAGUUCACAACUCUUUUGAGUACUUCUAAUCUAUAGGACGCUAUAGGUUAGAGUUGUAGUAUAAUUAUAAGCGUGGUGCUUACACCUAGAUUACUUGUGGAUAUCCCCUGUCUAGCUGGAUCGUGUGGUAGGCCGCGUAGGUGACAAUUACGUUGGUCCUCUGUAGUCCACCUCUCGUUAGCAGGACGGGUAGGGUUUAUCGGCCUAAGGAUAAGCAUCCUUUGUGGUGUACUCUUAUCACGUGGUUCGUCCCAGACAUAGACAUACCCCUUUGAAGUAGAGAAACCAUAGUUAUCCUCUCUAUUCUGCAACCAUCGCCCAUAUACUAGAAUUGCUCUACUCUCUAUUCCCAUAUUAUCACCUAUUGUUAUCUUACCUUUAAUAUUAUUCUUAUUCAAUUCUACCAUCUUUCCUAUUUCCACCUAUCUAUCUAUCUUGGUUAAGUUAGAGCGUAGUUGAUUCUCCCGUUUCCCUGUGGAUACGAUAAAACCUUUAACCGGAUAAAAGCUUCAACGGUAUCCGUGCGCUUGCGGAUUAUCUGUGUGCGUAUAAAUACCAUAGCACACUCUAGUGCCAUGCUGGGGAUGACAACCUAGUAUUCAAGUGGUGUUAGCAAGUGUCAACAGCUACUACUGACCUUCUGAAGGUCAAGAGAGGCGAUCCAGGAUGCCCCGUCAUCCCGAUCUCCAUCGGCAUGGUGGACUUCCCAGAAGCACUCUGUGACUUUGGCUCUAGUGUCAACAUUGUGCCGAGGGUACUCUAUUAAAAAUUCUUUACAUAUCCUUUAUUAAAACAACCAUGUGUUUGCAGUUUGCAGAUGAGACGAUCAGUUUUCCAAAAGGAAUAUUGAGGAACCUUUGCGUCCGAGUUGGUACCUUAUACGCCCUAGCAGACUUCGUGGUGAUAGAGACCGAUAAUGAUGAGAGGGCACCCAUCAUCUUAGGGAGGCCAUUCUUGAACACCUCGGGAGCUGUCAUCUACGCUAGUGCUGCCAAGAUCAGUUUCUACAUCGAAGGGAGGAAGGAGACAUUUUCCUUCAAGAACAAGACUACACAAAUCCCAGAUCAAUCCAGACGUGAAUCAAGGAAGAGGACCAACAGGAGGAAUAGGAACAAGCAAGUGUGGACCGAGUCAGCUAAGAUGGUCACUGCAGUUCAAGGAGGUCAAGAUCAUCAACUUAAGUCACCAUUUUUUACCAAGAAGGAUGACCCUGGAAUGCCAAGAAUCUAUUGCUCCAUAAAUGGAUACAACUUCUACAAGACGACUUGCGACACCGGAUCGGGCGUCAACAUAACGGCCGCAGUCACCUAUCGGCUCUUGUUCGGAAACAUGCCCUUAAAACCAAUAUACAUUCAGCUCCAGAUGGCAGAUCAAACAUUUCGAGAGGUUAAAGGUAUAGUAACUGAUGUCCGUAUCAAAAUAGACGAUCAUUUUGUCUACACAGACUUUCAGGUCAUUGACAUGGGAGAAGACGAGUACGAUCCACCCAUCAUCCUUGGAAGACCGUUCCUCAGCACCGUUAAAGCAAUCAUCUACAUUGGAACCGGAGAAGUCCAUAUGCACUUCCCCUUAGAAAAGGUACGCCGAUAUUUUACUGACCCUAACUAUAUCGUUGAAGACUCUAAGCAGGUCAGGACAAGAAAACGACGCAACUGCAACCAGAGGAGGGAAAUCAUCAAGGACGGAUGGGCAGACUAUGAAGGAGAAGUGAUAAGGUCAGAAGACAUACAGUUUAAACAGAAUUAUCCAGAGGAGACUGUAGCACCGAGUCAGGAAUGGAAAGAGAAGAUAACUAUACAUGAAGAGGAUGCGCUGCCGGAAGUACCGACUCCGCCACCCAACGAAUCCCAGGACAACUGAGAAAACAGAGAGUCCCGUUCGGAGGACUUAAAAACACCGAACGCCUUGCCAAGAGGUAAACUUGGUAGUUAUCCUUUCCCUUUCAAUUAUUUUAAACAGUUGAGUCAAUCAUGUUUAUACUAUCCUAAAAAGAAAAUAAAAAUGUUAAAAAACAGUAAGCCCCAUGCGAGUAUACGAGUGGCAUAAAACCCAUAAGUACAAUCACUGUGGUGGCAUAAAAAUAAAAUAAAUAUUUCUUUUUCUGCUUUAUAAAAUGAAAAUAUAAAAAUAGGGAGUAAUAGUUAUUGAGGAGGCUCAAUAUGAUGAAGGCUAAAUAUUUAUGCUAACACUUAAUCAGUUCCACAAAGCUUUCUUGUCUCUUUGAGCUCCAUAGAAUUUAAGAAUCAAGAAGACUAGUAGACGGAGGUCAUUCUAAUCGCUGUCAAAAUACUGCCGACUUUCAAAUACACCUCUGCCACCUGCUAGCUACAUCAAAAGAAAUUACGUCAAAAUUCAGCUUGGGGGAGAGCACCCCCAUUUAUCCCGCUAAGUAUUUCUAUCUAUCUUUAUACUUAUACUAUAUUAAAAUAUAGAUAUACAUAACUAUGGAAAACCAAAUAAAGAUUUUGUGCUUAUAUAUAUCUUUUGCUUAGUGUGUUUAAUAAAUAAAUAAAGUGGCUAUGCUAAACUGAAUCUUAAUAAUAAAACUCUAGCAUGGAUAUGAUGAAUAGUUGCUCUGCCUAAUUUUCAAAAUUGAAGUUCUCUCUCAAGUUUAGACAUAACUGUUAUAAUUUAAAGCUUGCUCUAAACCUAAACUUGUGGAAAGAAAACUUGAUCUGAAGUCUAAGUUGUUAAUAGAUAUGAUAUGGGAAGGUUGAGCUGCCGUUUAUCUGUUCCUAGAGAUGCUGGAAUUCUGGAGAAUUUUAUCUUUGAAAAAUCUUUAAAAUAUGGCAUGAUGAGUUCCUGUAUGAUGAGAGUUUGAAUUCCUACCACAGCCAUAUAUACAAGCUUGCUAGACUUUGAGCAACACAUUUACUUUUUACUGUUUAUGAGCAUUGAGUGUGGUCAAGCUGUGCAGACCCUUAGGAGCUUGUCAUGUGGUUAAAUCAAGAUUCACUUGCACGUUCACUGAUACAUGCUGCUUCUAUUCCGGAAGUAUGCAUCCACAUAUAUCCACCCAUUUCCAUCUCCAGAACCACCCCAAAAAUAUUCUACUCCUAAUCCGGGAGAGAAUAGCCAAAAAUAUUUAUAUUUUCCCCUAUGAAAUAAAUGCUCGAGUUAUCUUGUUACUACCACUUGCUAUAUUAUUUCAAGAAAUGAGUGCUCUAAAAAAAAGAAGAAUAAAAGAUACGAGGAAAUAAAAAGGGGCAAGUGCUCGGAACCUCGAAAGAAAAGAAAAAGUGAGACGAGAGGUAAAAAUGGACAAGUGUCCGACAGUAGAAUUAGGGGUACAAGAUACCCACCUGAGAGAAAAUGAAAUAUAGAGCAUUUCAUUCUCCUCAAAAUGUUUCAAACAGCAAGAAAGGUAUGUAUCCUCUCAAAGAGCAAAAGAUUUAGACUUUCACCAUUGUUAUCACCAUCAUCACCAUAUACCAUUCAUUCGCCACACAUGCACAUCUUGAUUGGACUUAUUGAUUUGUUUCUUUGGAUCCAUGGUUUGACUAUACAAUAAAUGUCUUGUGAGUAUGUAUACUUUAUCUCCCACCUAUGAGCUCCAGAUAUUAAAGCCUUAUUAGAGUAGGAUGAGAGAGAAGGCAAUGUCACUAUGCCUUAU